GUUUUGUAAAAGUUAACAAAUGAGAUGUAAGCUUCUGAGUCUGCAGCUCAGAGGUCAGUGUACCACCAGGAACAGGCGAGUCUGACAGCUCAUGAUGAAUGUUUGUUAUUGUCCAGGACUUUCCCUGUUAAAACCUGCCCUUCCUGCCACAACGAUAAACUCGGUAACUUGGCUACAGCUAUAGAAGCGAAGUUAGUCAACACGUCUUCCUGGCAAGAUAAAUAAGCAAGCAAAAGCUGACAAAGUCGACAAAAUGUUCAGCAGGUUUCUUCGGUGGUCAGAUCUUUCUGAACAGCUGCCUUUGCUGGCUUUGCAGUCUGAAAUGCGCAUGCGUAUUCGCAUAUUCUUGAAUAAGAGUAAUUUUAUGUGUCUGGUCGUCGAUGAAAUUGCGGUUAGUUGAAUAAUAGAUGUAUAGUUAAUUUUCUAGCAAGCUUAAAUAUCUUCAGACAUCAUACUUUAUUUGCUGGUCUCUAAGUGAUAAUGAUGAUGAUGAUGAUGAUAAUAAUAAAGAAAUUAGUUUCCACUUGCCUCUGCAAUCCUGAUGUCCUUGGGCAGAUUAUUGCAGAACCUCCAGAUAGCAGCUGACUCUGGGCCGAAUCCGCCUCCAAACCGGCAGAUCCGUGUAACAGUCACGCACGUUUUACGGCCCGCAUGUAGUCUGUGUGCACUCAGGAUCGGGCGUGAGCCUCCAUCAGUCGGCGGAAUCAUAAUAGUUCUGGCCCGGACUCGUCGGAACGAGCGCGCGAACUGUUUGUCUUUCUUUGGAUCAGUUCGGACUGGAAGCUUUGGGGAAUGAGUUUAUAACGGUAAGUUGAACGAUGUUACAGUCAAACAGUUUAGUGUGAUUGUUUUUAAUAGUGGUGUAAUGCUUGUUAGCAUCAUUAACAUCAUCACACCGGAAUGUUUUGACCGGGUUUUAACUUCUUAAAAUGGCUAAAACUGUUGAAGAGGCAUUGGCUAACGCUAGCUUUUUAGCUGGGCUAGCUAAAUUAACUGAAUGAACGGAUAGCUAAGCUAGCUAGCAUUAAUAAACAACUUUGUGUGCAGCUAGCAUAAAACAUUAAUGCUGUUUAACGUUAGUUAACUUACAACGAUGUUGUAACGUUAAUUUCCAACAGCACCUGUCUCCUUUUUAGGUUCAAUCUUUUCUUCACCCCUGGCUGAGAGCUCGGGAUUAAUAGGAGGCUGUACAGAAGAACCAAGCUGCUAGCAGCACAUCGGACAACGAGAUUAACCAGCACGCCAUCCGCUGGUUCAACCUGGCCUCUGACCAUGGAGGUGGCCGCAAAGAACGUGCCAUGGCCAGAGAGGCAUUAACUGUGAAAUGAACACAUCGGCCAUCCCCCACUCUUCCACUACUGAUGAUUUGUUGGGUGUCAUGUGAGGGUUAUGGCAUUCACACUUCUCCACUUGCCUCAUCAAUGUUUCCUGUAAAGCCACCAAACAAUGUGUACGAACAUUUUACAGUUUUUUUCUGGGUUUCACAUGACUAGUUAGAGUUGGAUAUUGUAUUUUGGCUAUAAAAUCUUUGUUAUUUAUACCAUGGUCAUGGAAAAUGGUUAAAAUAUAAAUGGCUGGCAGUAAUCAUCUAUCAAGACAAACUUAUCGCUUGUCGCUAAUUAAAACAUUAUCUUGUGUGUUUAGGCUGUAGAAUCUCGUGUGUCUCCUGGCUUUAGCUUUAUAUGUAGAGUAUGGUAUCGUGUGUGUGUGUGUGUGUGU